GAAUAUAAUGCUCUAAAUAUUAAGUAGUUCUUCCUUCUCCCAAAACAUGAACGCUUGUUGCUCUCUUCGAGUUGUUCAAUUUAGACACGAUCUGUGGAUCUGAAGAGGAGUGUAUGAUGGGGACAAGUAAUGCAAAAACCUUAUCUGUACCACCAAUAGUGUCACCAACAUCUAGAACAAAACGACAAGGCAAGAGUUGAGUUCUGUCUGGAAAACAUCCGGGAAUGCUUAGCGCUGAGAAAACUCACCUGCUUGGUUUCAGCGGCUUCAAGCAGGGAAGCAACCAAAGCAUGGAAAUUGGCUGUAAGGACACCUUGCUCCCUGUCUGAGAUACCUAUGCUUAUUAAUUUAACACAUACUUAGCAAACUUUCCUCUCUGGCAGGCCUCGCAUCAUGCAGUUGGGACAUAGAAAUAAAUCAGAUGCCUUACUUACCACUGUGUACAGCAUAGUUAGAAAGCAUGGAACUGAGAAAAGAGCACAGGAUGUGAAGCCUCACAGUGCCCUAAUGCAGGAAGGAGGCAGAUAACGUGACAAGACGAGAGGGCUGAGGUCCCUGUGUGGUGGGGACACUGGCACUGUGCUGGUUAGGGGCAUUGCAUGGGGUGCUGAGGAACUUGGCCAUGCUUUGUAUAUGAUCUGAAAGUGGUAAAAGGGAGAGGUAUAGUAUAUUAUGUGCAUUCUAGGAAAAUCAUUCAAGCUAUGGUAUGAACCUUCAAAAUUCUGUUCACUAAGAAAUGAGAAGAGAGUUAUCCAAGAAUAUAUUCAGAAAUAUAGUAAAAGAGUUUUUAUUGAAGAGCUCUUUACCAAAAUACACUUCAUGGCAAAGUCUUGAGUGCCUUAAGAUGACCGCUUUCUCGAAUACUGUGUCUCUUCCUUGCUCAUGCACCUUGUAUUACACACAUCCUCCUUACACGCAGUCCUUAAAUAUGGGACGCUGGGCUCCUGGCAGGUCCUGGGUCUUUGGAAGACCUAGAAUCUAUAUCAUAUUGUAAAUAUUAAUUUUAAUUAUUCUUCAUUUAAAGCAAUAGUUAUCAAUCCUCCUAAUGAUGAAACCCUUUAAUAUCAUUGUAGUGACCCCCAACUUCAAAAUUAUUUUUGUUGCUUCUUCAUGACUGUAAUUUUGAUACUGUUAUGAAUCACAUAAGUAUAUGUGGUUUCUGAGGGUCUUAGGUGACCCUGUGAAAAGGUCAUUUGACACCCAGAGGGCUUUCCACCCACAUGCUGAGAACUGCUGAUCUAAAGGCAUUAGAUCAUGAUAAAGAUACUAUCAACCUGAGGGUCUGACGCAGUUUUCUGUUUAAAGGGUACUUCAUGGUGUGCAAUGUUUGUUUUGUUUGUCAUGGUCUCUGCUGAUAAGUUAAGCCUGUUCUGGUCUAUCUUCUGGAGUUCUGAGUCCCAUUGUAGUAGUUUUGGAAAGUUUUCAUGUCUCUAGGCAUCAGUACUUAUAGUUCAUCUUACCUUCUUUUUCCAAACAAAUUUUACAUUCUAAAAUGUUAAUUGUUGAAGGACUGCUGCAUAUAUGAAUAUACAGAGACUGUGACAAUAUAGCAAAAACCUGUACAAGUUCAAGUCAGAUAGAAUCCCAGCAAGGAGAAGGGGGGUGAACACAGAGUCCCACUCCAAACCAAAAAGCUGUUUGCAAUUAAUAGCUGCUGGAAGAGGGAGAAGUGGUGUUCCUUGGGGGCGGGGGUGUGAUACCAGAUAUAAUACCAGCCCACUCAGUGCCUGGCCUCAUGCUCAGGGGUAGUUGGUCAACACAAAAUGAACUGUAUGUAUGUUUGUGCUUUGGUUUGGUUUGGUUUGGUUUGGUUUGGUUUGGUUUGGUUUGGUUGCUUUCUAAGAUUUCUAAGAAGGAAUUUGGUGGAUUGGGAGUUGGAGUGGGAUCUGAACAGAGUUAGGGAUGGAAAAAGAAUGUAAUCAAGAUAUUAUAUUGUAUGAUAUUCUCAGAAAAAUAAAUAAAACAUU
rnacentral:lncRNA from 1 species